CAGGGACAGCACCCAGGCCCUGAGUUCAAGGCCCAUGACAGGGACAGAGCACAGAGUUCCUGAACAAUAAGCAAACAAGUAAUCUUAGACACAGUGGCCCACAUAUAUAAUUCUAGCACUUGGGAGGCUGAGGCAGGAGGAUCAGGAGUUCCAGGUGGGCCUGGGCUAUUCAAUGAGACCCUACCUCAAAAAUAAAAGAAA